AUUGAACGCUGGCGGCAGGCCUAACACAUGCAAGUCGAGCGAGCGGCGGACGGGUGAGUAAUGUCUGGGGAUCUGCCCGAUAGAGGGGGAUAACUACUGGAAACGGUAGCUAAUACCGCAUACUAUCGGAUGUGCCCAUAUGGGAUUAGCUAGUAGGUGGGGUAACGGCUCACCUAGGCGACGAUCCCUAGCUGGUCUGAGAGGAUGACCACCAAAAUGGGAACUGGAACACGGCCCAGCUUCCAACGGAGGGAAGCAGAGGGGAAUAUUGGAAAAGGGGCGAAAGCCUGAGGCGGAAAGGCCGCGGGGAUGAAGAAGGUCUUCGGGUGGAAAGGUACGUUCAGCGAGGAGGCGGUACUCAAAGAAAAAGCAACGGCUAACUACGUGCCAGCAGCCGCGGUAAUAC
rnacentral:rRNA from 1 species